CCUACGGGUGGCAGCAGUGGGGAAUAUUGGGCAAUGGGCGCAAGCCUGAUCCAGCAACGCCGCGUGAAGGAAGAAGGCUUUCGGGUUGUAAACUUCUUUUGACAGGGAAGAGUAGAAGACGGUACCUGUCGAAUAAGCCACGGCUAACUACGUGCCAGCAGCCGCGGUAAUACGUAGGUGGCAAGCGUUGUCCGGAUUUACUGGGUGUAAAGGGCGUGUAGCCGGGUUGACAAGUCAGAUGUGAAAUCCUGCGGCUUAACCGCAGAACUGCAUUUGAAACUGUUGAUCUUGAGUACUGGAGAGGCAGACGGAAUUCCUAGUGUAGCGGUGAAAUGCGUAGAUAUUAGGAGGAACACCAGUGGCGAAGGCAGCUCACUGGACUGCAACUGACACUGAGGCUCGAAAGUGUGGGUAUCAAACAGGAUUAGAUACCCGUGUAGUC
rnacentral:rRNA from 1 species